rnacentral:rRNA from 1 species
CCGAACACACAUCCGUUGAAAAGGGUGGUGAUGAGGUGUGGAUAGGGGAGAAAUUCCAAUCGAACCCGGAGAUAGCUGGUUCUCCUCGAAAUAGCUUUAGGGCUAGCCUCUGGUUAGUCUGCCGCAGGUAGAGCACUGAAUUUCCUAGGGGGCGUCAAAGCCUACCGAAGAAUAUCAAACUCCGAAUGCCGGCCAGAUGAUGUACGGGAGUCAGACUGCACGAGAUAAGUUGGGUGGUCAAAAGGGAAAGAGCCCAGACCUACAGCUAAGGUCCCAAAGUGUGUGUUAAGUGGAAAAGGAUGUGGGAUUUCGAAGACAACUAGGAUGUUGGCUCAGAAGCAGCCACACAUUAAAAGAGUGCGUAAUAGCUCACUAGUCGAGAGGUCCUGCGCCGAAAAUGUCCGGGGCUAAAACACAACACCGAAGCUUAGGAAUUCUAAUGAAUUGGUAGAGGAGCAUUGAAGACGGAACGAAGCCAUACCGAAAGGAAUGGUGGACUGUCUUGAAGAGAGAAUGCCGGAAUGAGUAGCGAGAUUGAAGUGAGAAUCUUCAAGGCCGAAUAUCUAAGGUUUCCAGGGUAAAGCUGAUCUGCCCUGGGUAAGUCGGGGCCUAAGGCAAGGUCGAAAGACGUAGUCGAUGGAUAACAGGUUGAAAUUCCUGUACUGCAUCAAAUCAGAAAUGUGGGGACACAUGAGGGAAGCAUGAGCCGGAAAAGGAAAGUCCGGUACAAGCGCAGCAGAGGACAGAUAGGCAAAACCGUCUGUCAACUCGAGGGCGUGAUGUGGAGCGAACCAAAGUAGCGAAGCAUGUGGAGCUUGUGUCGAGAAAAGCCGCUAUAGUGUUUGAUGUACCCGUACCGUAAACCGACACAGGUGGAUGAGGAGAGAAUCCUAAGGCCGGCGGGAGAAGCAUUGUUAAGGAACUCGGCAAAAUGACCCCGUAACUUCGGGAGAAGGGGUGCUCCAGAGAUGGAGCCGCAGAGAACUGGCCCAAGCAACUGUUUAGCAAAAACACAGGUCUAUGCAAAACCGAAAGGUGAGGUAUAUGGGCUGACGCCUGCCCGGUGCUGGAAGGUUAAGAGGAGAGGUCAGGAAACGAAGCCUUGAAUUUAAGCCCCAGUAAACGGCGGCCGUAACUAUAACGGUCCUAAGGUAGCGAAAUUCCUUGUCGGGUAAGUUCCGACCCGCACGAAAGGCGUAAUGAUUUGGGCACUGUCUCGACAAUGCACCCGGUGAAAUUGAAAUACCAGUGAAGAUGCUGGUUACCUGCGCCAGGACGGAAAGACCCCAUGGAGCUUUACUCUAGCUUGAUACUGGGGUUCGGUAUUGCAUGUACAGGAUAGGUGGGAGACUGAGAAGAUGUGUCGCCAGAUGCAUCAGAGUCGAUGUUGGGAUACCACCCCUGCAGUACUGGGCUUCUAACCUGCAGCCGUGACCCGGCUGGGGGACAAUGUCUGGUGGGGAGUUUGACUGGGGCGGUCGCCUCCGAAAGAGUAUCGGAGGCGCUCAAAGGUUCCCUCAGAAUGGUUGGAAACCAUUCGAAGAGUG